AGUCAGAGACACAUUGGGCCAGCCUGAGGAAGGCGAAACUACGCCGAAACGUCGCGAAGGCCCAAUGAAGUGCACUAAACCCUAGAAAUGGGUAAUUUUUUGAACCAGGGCAGGGACACCACUACCCAGCCCCAUCGAUGGCCCGUGCACUUCAGGCUACCAGCUUGCUGGUGGCCUGUUCCUUACUCAACACCUAACCAGCCAGUGCCUCGUGGGGUUGGGGGUGCCCCUGCCCACUAACAAAUCCUAACCCUAACCAGGGGGGUCCCUAAGAAAGACAAGAAAGUCAGAAAGGAGAAAGAAAAGCAAAGAAACAGAAAAAGUUAAGGAAACCAAGAGAGGCAGAAAUAGAGAAAGCAGAAAAACACAAAUAGAAAACCUAAAAGAAGGAGGAGUCAAGUGACAGUAUAAAAGCCAAGAGAGGCAGAACAGAGAACAAGCAGUCAGAGACACAUUGGGCCAGCCUGAGGAAGGCGAAACUACGCCGAAACGUCGCGAAGGCCCAAU
ensembl:lncRNA